UACGUAGGGUGCGAGCGUUAAUCGGAAUUACUGGGCGUAAAGCGUGCGCAGGCGGUUCGUUGUGUCGGCGGUGAAAGCCCCCGGGCUUAACCUGGGAAUGGCCGUUGAAACUGGCGAACUGGAGUGUGGCAGAGGGGGGUGGAAUUCCGCGUGUAGCAGUGAAAUGCGUAGAGAUGUGGAGGAACACCGAUGGCGAAGGCAGCCCCCUGGGUCAACACUGACGCUCAUGCACGAAAGCGUGGGGAGCAAACAGG
rnacentral:rRNA from 1 species